ACAAACUAAUCAAAACCACUUGAACUAGACAAACAAGUCACUACUAAAUAAAGCUAGAUUAUAAUAACAAACCCAAACUAACUAUGGAGGCCCAGACUUCUCACCCAGCCCCCAACUCUCUGAUAAAUUAAAAUCACAGAGCCCCAUGUUAAAGUUCACUGUGGCUGUUUUCCUCUCUAUUUUUAUGCUGCCACAGACAUGACAGAAUGACAGCUUUUUAAAAUCUCCUCCACAGUGAAAUCUUUUCUACUGGGCUACUCUCUUCUUCAGAGUUGUUGUCCUGCUCAGAACUGGACAACUACUUUUGGUGUUUCUGAUCCCUGAGGGGAAACAAUUUUUAUUUCAUCCAUGCCUCCAGAAAAUCUUACAUUGGUGACUGUUUGAGGCUCAGGGACGGUUUCCAUUUGUGACUUCCUACUUCCUGAUUCUUCAGAUUGUAAGUCUUCUCCUUCCUGGCUGGAUUUCUCUUUGGUUGUAGAGUCUUUUUCUGCUUCACUAAAUUUCUGUGUUUUUUUCCUCCUGAUUGCUCAGCACUUCAGAGGAAGCUGCAAGUUGUGUCUCCUUUUGCUCAAACACUGUCUGGAGGUUCUCUGUUUUUAUUUCUAAAACAGUUUGUGGUGCCGGAGUCUUGGGUUCUUUACCAGAGUUUUGAGUUUCAGAAGUGUCCAUCUUGAUUUGGUUUAUGAGAGCUUCCAGUUCAGCGGCAGCUUUCAAUGCUGCCGUUCCCCUUUUCUCAUAUUCAGAUUUCCUAGAUAGCUCUUUCUCCACUUUCUGAUCCUCAUCUUGUUGAGUUUCAGACGUCUUCUCUUCUUCAGUGGUCUGGUGUAAUUCAGAGAAUUUUUAGGUCCUUGGUUCUGAUGCUGCUGCCCCAACAGGUGAUGGCUGAAGAGAUGACGCUCUCAACAACAGACUUAUAGAAGAUCUGCAGCAGCUUGCUGCACACCUUU